AUUGAACGCUGGCGGCAGGCCUAACACAUGCAAGUCGAACGAGUGGCGGACGGGUGAGUAAUGUCUGGGAAACUGCCCGAUGGAGGGGGAUAACUACUGGAAACGGUAGCUAAUACCGCAUACCAUCGGAUGUGCCCAGAUGGGAUUAGCUUGUAGGUGAGGUAACGGCUCACCUAGGCGACGAUCCCUAGCUGGUCUGAGAGGAUGACCGGCAACAGUGGAACUGAGACACGGUCCAUACUCCUACGGAAGGAAGAAGUGGGGAAUAUUGGAAAAUGGGCGCAAUCCUGGUGCAGCCGUGCGGCGUGUAUGAAGAAGGCCUUCGGGGUGUAAAGUACUUUCAUCGGGGAGGCGUUACCCGAAGAAGAAGCACCGGCUAACUCCGUGCCAGCCGCCGCGGUAAUUC
rnacentral:rRNA from 1 species